AAUAAGAUGGCUGAGGAUAGGCGAUAAAUUGUAAAUUUAUAAACAGGGUUACCUUCUUAUUA
rnacentral:tRNA from 1 species